GAGUACUCCUUUAAUCACUGCAAAUACCUGCUUCGACUCACCUCGAAAAUGACAAGUGACAAAAGCAUAACACCUGAGUUUUUCUCUAAAGAACCGGACUAUAAAUUGGCUUUGCUCGCCAAUUUUGGACUCAGACCAGAUGAUUAAUAUUGGAGAUGAUUUCUCCUUUCCUCUUUAUCCUGUCUCACGUUCAUUUAGAGAGAAAGGGAAAUGAUGAUAUGAUGUCAUACGUCACGUGACUCUCUCGGGUUUGGACAGAUAUCAAAGGUCAUUGACCGAGCUUGGAGUUGUUGCUGAGGUUCUGGUACAACGUCUCAACAGAUCUGACUUACCUUGACAUAAACGUUACCAACCAGAUGAUCGCCGAGGUUGUCACAGACGUUCAUCUCCUCAAUCUCACCGUACUUCUGCUCCAUCUCCGU